UACGUAGGGUGCGAGCGUUGUCCGGAAUUAUUGGGCGUAAAGGGCUCGUAGGCGGUUUGUCGCGUCGGGUGUGAAAACCCAGGGCUUAACCCUGGGCUGGCUUCCGAUACGGGCAGACUAGAGGUAUGCAGGGGAGAACGGAAUUCCCGGUGUAGCGGUGAAAUGCGCAGAUAUCGGGAGGAACACCAAUGGCGAAGGCAGCUUGCUGGGACGGUACUGACGCUGAGACGCGAAAGCGUGGGGAGCAAACAGG
rnacentral:rRNA from 1 species